GCAUGGUGGGAGCUCAACUCUGGAUCAACAGUUUGCUCUUUGGCCUUGUACAUGCUGUGAGAUCAUGUGAGAAUUGUGUGCCUGAGGAGCUGGAUGAUGGGCUGCUCUCUUAAGUGGCUGCUGUGCUCAGGUGCAAGUUAACAAGAUUGUGCUGGGUUUAUAACCAACGAUUAACUUGCCACAGAGGUUGCAAGAGAAAUGUUCAGCCCACCUCACAGGCUCUUCUGAACCUCUUCACAGCAACUGCACAGACUGCAUGGAAGUGCAUGUGAUGGACAACAGGCUGGCAGCAGACAUGCAUAGACCUUGCUCUUGUGUAAGAGGCAUAAAGCUGGGCACAGCUCCACACUCUUUGCUACAAAUAACCACAUUGUUUGUGUUAGGAAAACAAAGGUAUCUUGAUGUGAUAUGCUGUGAUGUCACUUUCCUUUGUGCUACUGGAUCGCGUGGUUCAGACACACCAGUUUCUGUAGUCCGGAGGCUUGCACAGAUGUCUGAGUUGAUGCUAGGAUGGUCCCAGGACUCUGAGCCUCUCAGAAGGUGUUGGAGCAUCAGCAGCCAGGCACUGAAUUUUACUGGUUUAUGGAAAUUCCAAUUACAUGACUCUUCUACCUUAGGUAAAGACAUUUAAAUAAAACAUUCUAAACAAUGA